AUUCAUUCCAUCUCUAUUGAAUCAAAAGAUAGAUAGUUUCCUUUCAUGAUGAGAACCAAACGUCCAUAAUAUCACAAACCCCUUCUUUUCUCUAUCCCCCAUCCCUCAAUCUGAAGACCAGUCGAAAAAAUGUCUUUGACACCGUUUCUUGUGGAGUCUCUGGUGAGGCUGUUGAGGUUGUUCGUUAGCUGGCCGGCGGCGUCGGUGACGACGAUACUCUAUUACGGCGAGGCGCUGCCGAGGAAUCCGAGGUUGCAGCGGCUCGUCCGCGACGAAUUGCUCGACGACGAGAACUUUCUGCUCCAUUUUUUGAUCGCCAUGUUUAGAUGCUUCUGCUGAAGUUGACUGCGGCAAAGGAACGGGCAACAAUGUACCCCCUUGGAUAUUGUCUGUGUCAACAGCAUUAAGUGUCUUUUGGGCCUCAAUGAAAACCAUAAAAUCUCUGAUCUGCAGAGUUAUUUGAAUUAUCAAAAACAAGAUUUUUUAUGUACGUAAAUAUGCUGGCCAAUCUCAUCUGUAAAUAAAAGGGAAAGGAAGAAAUACCUCGUCUUCCAGAUCA